rnacentral:rRNA from 1 species
GACGUAGGGCGCGAGCGUUGUCCGGAUUUAUUGGGCGUAAAGAGCUCGUAGGCGGCUCAUUGCGUCAACCGUGAAAACCAGCAGCUCAACUGUUGGCUUGCGGUUGAUACGGGUGGGCUGGAGUUCGGUAGGGGAGACUGGAAUUCCUGGUGUAGCGGUGAAAUGCGCAGAUAUCAGGAGGAACACCGGUGGCGAAGGCGGGUCUCUGGGCCGAUACUGACGCUGAGGAGCGAAAGCGUGGGGAGCAAACAGG